UUCUUUUUCCUAUUCUGGUUUCAGGAGAUGCAGAGUACUAACAAAUAACAAAACAACAAAAGGAUGGAUAAGAACUAACUGUCUUUCUACAGUACGUACUAAUGAGGUGCAACUUGACCAGGGUUACGUUCUCCUAAUAUUCAAGGACUACCUUCCCAGACCUCCUGUAGAACUAAAACGUUCGCAAUAGACUGGACUAAUUUUCCAAGGAUCAACGGUUCUUGACGACAGGUGGUGAAUGUACAGGUUUUCUGUCCGUCCGUAUUAGUUUGUUCGGGUAUUUCAGAAUUUAUCUAAAAGGACUGGUUCGGUUCGUCCUGUCGUUCGGGUAAGAGUUACACUUCUAUGUCGAAAACCUUAAUACCUGGAUACCACAGGACUGUUGGUGCGGAUCUGCUAAAGUAGUCCCACGCUGGAUGGAGCUGGCGAUGGCGUGGCUCAGAGUUGGCUGAUCUAAUUUUAUGUU